rnacentral:lncRNA from 1 species
AUCAGGUUCCCCUCUGGAACCUUAUCUGUGGUUUGUCACUUUGACUGUUCACUGUGUAAAAGCUUCCCUUGCAUUGCCUAUCUCUAAAGAAGAGUGUCUUUUGCCCUACAGUAGAAAUUCUGUUAAGAAGAGGAGCGCUUCAGCAGAGUAAUGGUCAUUUUCCCAAAACCCAGGAAAUACAUUUCACACCAAAAUGAAUGCCUUCACCUAACCCUGCAGUGCUGCAUGGAGCCCCUCGCACUCCAGCCACACCCUGGCCAAGCUGGGCUUUCCUGGUAGAAUGGAGAUACUUGGAAGCACUCUUCAUCUCAGGUCACGCCUGUCUAUCAGUGGGUGCCUAUGAGUACAAACCAUCUCUCAGCUGAGAAAGGGAAGCCGCACUGGUCCUGAAGAAGUGUCUGAUGCCUGCUUCCCUUCCCGUCCAGUGUCUUUCGAGAGAUGAGAUGGCUGUAGCAUCCUUCCAUUGGGAAGCUUAAGAGUCCUAUCUACAGCACAAAGCUACCCCCUCCCACCCAGGACUCCCAGGGACAGAAAGCAUUGUCAGCCCAGGGGUGCAUUUAUCAGAUCGAGCGAUUCAUUAUUAUCCUUUCUUUGUUUUACCUCCAGCAGACGCUUAGCUCCAUGUUUGGCUACCUCAGCGUUGGGGAAUUACCACGAUGCCAGCAGUAUAGGGAACUUUCACCUCUGAACUUUCAGUUUAUCUUCUGAGGACAGAGCAAUUGUUCUUAACUGGCUUUCUGUUUCUAGUUGACAGCUUCCGAGCCUGACUACCUGUGGCCUUCAGGUUAGGAAGUGAAUACAGUGAGGGAUGGCACGACGUCAUCGUGUGUUGUAGCCAGGCAGCUUCUAUGCCAAAUUUCACUCAGCUAUAAUUGAUCUGUUGAGGCUAUUGUCUGUAAGUUAGAUAGUAUAAUAUGUACAAAAUAUAUGCCUAUCCUCCCCAAUAGGAAAUAUCAGUGUUCUUUCUCCCCACCUCUUCUCCCUCCUUUUCUUUUACUGGUAUUUUUUUUCAUAAUUUUAAAGUCAUCCAUUUACUAAAUAUGUGGCUUAAAAUACAGUAAUUGUUUUAAAAGUCUUUUCAAUAAGAAAAAAAGUUUUUUUUAAUAAAGUAAGUCCUUGUUUUCAGUA